UCCUACGGGCGGCUGCAGUCGAGGAUCUUUCGCAAUGGGCGCAAGCCUGACGAAGCGACGCUGCGUGAGCGAUGAAGGCCUUCGGGUCGUAAAGCUCUUUCGCGCAAGAACAAGGAAGUGCUGUGAAUAACAGCGUAACUUGAGGGUACUGCGUAAAGAAGCGCCGGCUAACUCCGUGCCAGCAGCUGCGGUAAUACGGAGAGCGCGAGCAUUAAUCGGAAUUAUUGGGCGUAAAGGGCGCGUAGGCGGGAAGGUAAGUCAGAUGUGAAAUUCCGAAGCUCAACUUCGGAGCUGCAUUUGAAACUGCCAUUCUAGAGGGUUGACGGAGAAAACGGAAUUCCACGUGUAGCGGUGAAAUGCGUAGAUAUGUGGAAGAACACCGGUGGCGAAAGCGGUUUUCUAGUUAAUACCUGACGCUGAGGCGCGAGAGCAAGGGGAGCAAACAGGAUUAGAUACCCGUGUAGUC
rnacentral:rRNA from 1 species